UAGCGUGCACAACUAAAAUUUUCAUUGAAAAUAAUAUUGAAGCGAAUACAACGGCCCUAAGGAGAGGUCUCUGCAAUUGCAACUAAAACUGAGCCCCAACCCCUUUCCCUUGAAACCCUCCUUCAUUUCUUCCCAAUGACAAAAGGUUUCUUCCUUCUUAAGGUUGCCUACCAAGGCAAUUACGCUUCGAUGCCAAGUUUUGCUU
rnacentral:misc_RNA from 1 species